AAAAAAUCUUUCACCAGUCUAUAGGCUGCAACAACAUGCCAUAUUGGACAGCAACAUCACUGCUACGUAAACAUAAACCUAUAAAAGUUGAGUAUUCU